ACCCCCAUCCGGGCAGGCGGGCGGACAUGCCUCGGGCAAUCCUUCAGCCCCUUCCUCCCCCUUUUCUCUCCAAACGCUGCGCCCCACGGGCCGAGUUCCCGAGGCGCCGCGGAAGGACCGAGGUGUAGAGUCCGGUGCGCGGGUGCGGAAGGAGCGUCUCCGCCGGAGCCUCAGUGGCCAGCGCGGAUCCGUGUGUCGUCCCUCCCUCCUGUGGCUUUCUGAUUUGGGGCGGGAGUGGGUGGGAAAUGCCAGGGCGAAGGGGAGGGGGAGCCACGUUGCAUAUCAGUGUGAGGCAGCACCCGUGGCCACCCCUCGCUUCCAUCGCCCCUUAUGUUUUCUUCUCCUGCCUACCGUUGAAUGAGCAGGGUUGGACUCGAAAAGUCAGAACUAAUCUCUGCGAGUAUGUGUGUGACGUACAUGUCUUGCUGAGGGGUUGCGGACGGGAGCGGAUUGGUGUCAGGCAUCGCGGAGGGGCUGUGUUGGCAGGAGUAUACAUGGGUGCUGUGCGCGGCUGGGCUGCGACCGGGGCUAUGAAGGACCGCGGCCAGGACGGGGUGGUCGGACGGCUGCCCUGCAACCACCCCCCGCCAGCCCACCUCCUGCCCACCUCAAACGACGAGGACAACCCCAUCGCUGCGUCCUCCUGGGUACAUACCAGAGAGCCGUCCUGUCUCCCUACCUUGCCGUGCACCACCUCCCUCCCUCCUUCCCCACACAUCUCUCGUGGUCAGACACACCCCCAAACUUCUUCCAACGCACUAUGCAGCUCUUUGCUCGGCUCCUGCGCCCUAAAACGUGCUGACGUUUUCAUGGGCGAAAUGUUUCUGUGCCACUGGUUUUCAACCUGAAGCGUUGAAUGAGAAGGAAAAGAAGGAAACCACAAAACUUAUGCUUAGAAGCAUAAUUAUCUCUGGCAACGCAUAACAUAUAGUAGGAACGGGAAAAGACCGUGGUAAUGGAUGAACAAAAGGCCUUCAGUUCAUCACCAACAAAAGCAUUGGGAAAAUUGAUUGAAUUUCAGAGCACGUCCUCCUCAGCAGAGAGGGCUGGACUAGACCUUGGCCAACCCCCCCAAAAAAACUUGCAGAGCCUCACAGCACUUCACUUUCUACUCUGGGGCUUAGAAAGCAAUAUGGAAAAAGGAAAAAAACACCACCACCCCCCCCAGGCAAAAGAUGAGACUCUUGUCCUGUCCAAUUCCCAGUCAUUUUUAGGAAUCAAAUAAG
rnacentral:lncRNA from 1 species